AGGCGGGUCCGGCGCGGCAGAGCCCUGCGAACCUCGUCAGGUCCGAAAGGAAGCAGCGAUAAGUAGGCCGCCCUGGGUGCCGCCGGGGUGCCUGCCUGGG
rnacentral:SRP_RNA from 1 species